rnacentral:rRNA from 1 species
AAUGAACGCUGGCGGCAGGCUUAACACAUGCAAGUCGAGCGAGCGGCGGAUGGGUGAGUAAUGCCUGGGAAUUGCCCAGUCGAGGGGGAUACCAGUUGGAAACGACUGCUAAUACCGCUUACGACUGGAUUGCCCAUGUGGGAUUAGCUAGUUGGUGAGGUAAUGGCUCCUCAAGGCGGAGAUCCCUAGCUGGUCUGAAGGGGUGAAGAGCAAAAAUGGAACGGGGAACGGGCCCAGAUUCCUCGGGGAGACAGCAGUGGGGAAUAUUGCACAAUGGGGGAAAUCCUGAUGCAGCACUGCCGCGUGUGUGAAGAAGGCCUUGGGUUUGUAAAGCACGUUCGGCGGGAAGGCGGUACUCGCAGAAGAAGCACCGGCUAACUCCGUGCCAGCAGCCGCGGUAAUAC